GUGCGGUGGGAGCGCUGCGUGAGGCGUGACACCGUGUUGGGGGGUCCUCGUGGACCGCCACCACACGAGUCGGUGACCGGAAGGUUCUGGUGUUCGGUGGCUUCUCUAUUCCCACUGGGGAGCGAACGGACGAUCGAACGGAUCAGUGGAAUUUUCGGCCGGAUUGUGCGAAUCUCAACGAUUCCAUGUACAGUCUAGCCUAGAGUCCUAACAUCUACAACCGUAUACAUCAAAUCUGAUCCCUCGGAUGACCCAUCCGCAAUCAGUGACCAAUCUUUAUCUUUACCUAAUCUCUCCUAAUCUUAUUUUAUCUUACCUCUUUCCUUAAUAAUAAAGCAUCGAUGGCUUCUGUCGUCCGUCGUGGCGUUUUUGUCAAAAAGUCCCUCCGUUUUCGAGGAUUCAACCCGCAGUCCCCGAUUAAGUGGACAUUAGAAAAAACGUUUCAGAUUUACAAGAAAGACCCUGCAUCUGUAAAAUUUUCACUCGCGAUCCUUUGUUUGAUCUUAUCCUCUUUCCAGCCGCAUCGGAGUAGGAGAAGGUGAGGGGCGGCGCCCUUGUCGCCGGACUGGAGGAGAUCCUCACCGACGGAGAUGCCCCGCGCUACCAUCGCCGGAUUCUUCUUCCCGUCCCCACCCGCCCCCAAAUCCUCACCCCCACCAUCCUUCACCCUCGAGGGUUGCAGAUCCAGCGGCGGGGGAUCGGGAGCAGGAGGAUGACGGCAUGUAGAUUUCCCCCCGAUUCAUCAGGCAUGUGUGUAUUCUAAUCUGUGGCGUCCUUCUUUUCCGGCGGGGGGCAGGUUGCCUGUGGCUUACCGGGAUCUCGAGCUCGAUCGCGUACAACUGGUCGCGGCCCAACAUGAAGACCAGCGUCAAGCUCAUCCACGCAAGCAUCGGUGAGUGGCCGUGCAGAUGACCUUGCUCUACAAUGUGACGUUGGUGUACUACAUAUCGCACUACCUGGUGGACAUCGUGAGCGAGAAGGCCGGCCGCGUGCUCAAGCUCGACAAGAUCGACGAGAGCCGCAAUUGGCUCGGCGCCGACAUGCUCGUCUUCGACUCCUGGCACUGGUGGCCGCGCUCCGGCAAGGAUCAGCCGUAAGACCGGCAUUGCGUUGUCUGUUUCUCUGGGCUGCGUUUUUUCAGGCAGGGUACACUAGAUGCAGCAAGACGUGCCUCGACAUUUUUUCGGGUUGAUGACGUCGUUCACAAGUUAUUCACAGAGCUUGCAUACCGCUACAAGGCGUCGACUGAUUGACGGUGUUGGCAAUGCCCCCUCCAGAUCUACAUCUUCUUCCCGAACGAGCCCAAGCCCGGCGUGAAGACGGUCAAGAGCUCGAAGAUGAAGCAGGAGAACGUGUACAAUGGCGUACUCGUCGUGCAGCAGGCGCUGACCGCCUUCUCCCGCAACUUGUUGCUCGGGUUAUCGCAGGAGAAAUUGCAGCUCGAGGUCUUCCAGGUCGCGCUCUACAUUCAUGCCUCGUGCUCGUAUGACUAAUAUCCAGUGCUUCUCGCCAUGUCUGAUGUUUAAUGUAGCCCUGUCCUGCACGAAGGGGAGCUUCUUAUAAACAUUAAGAAUCACGAUCUGGUUCCUGAGCACGUGCUCCUCACAAAGGAGCAAAAGAAGACGCUGUUGGAGAAAUACACUGUGAAAGAAACUCAGGUCAUACAGAUUUGCCAACCCUUUGCCCACUGUAACCGACCUGAUAUUCUAAUCGAUGCAAGCAUGUCAUUAUGUGAAAUGUAUUUCUGUUUCAGCCAUAUAAGUCUUUGAUAAUCAUCUGAGAAAAAACAAUUAUAUAACUAUAAACCAUGACACUGUAUUCCAGUAUACCUUCAUGUACAUAUUCCAGAUGGCGGUGUUGGGAGGAAACACAUUAUUAAUUUGAAAGAAAAGGCUCCCUCUACUUCAUCAAGCUAUAUCUGUUAGUUCAUAUUCAUAGUGUAAUCUCUAGAAGGUCUUAUAUUUAGGAACGGAGGGAGUAAUACUUAUUUAG